GGUUGAUCCUGCCAGUAGUCAUAUGCUUGUCUCAAAGAUUAAGCCAUGCAUGUCCAAGUAUAAACACAAUUGUACUGUGAAACUGCGAAUGGCUCAUUAUAUCAGUUAUAAUUUAUUUGAUAGUGACCUUGCUACAUGGAUAACCGUGGUAAUUCUAGAGCUAAUACAUGCGCACAGUCCCGACUGCGCAAGCGGAAGGGACGUAUUUAUUAGAUACAAAACCGACGCAGCUUUGGCUGGCCGAGGGUGAUUCAUGAUAACUGGGCGAAUCGUACGGCCGCGCGCCGACGAUG
rnacentral:rRNA from 1 species